UACGUAGGGGGCAAGCGUUGUCCGGAAUCAUUGGGCGUAAAGCGCGCGUAGGCGGCCCGGUAAGUCCGCUCUGAAAGUCCAGGGCUCAACCCUGGAAAGCGGGUGGAUACUGCCGGGCUAGAAUCCGGAAGAGGCGAGUGGAAUUCCUGGUGUAGCGGUGGAAUGCGCAGAUAUCAGGAGGAACACCAAUAGCGAAGGCAGCUCGCUGGGACGGUAUUGACGCUAAGGCGCGAAAGCGUGGGGAGCAAACGGG
rnacentral:rRNA from 1 species